CCUGGCUCAGGAUGAACGCUAGCGGGAGGCCUAACACAUGCAAGUCGAACGGGAUUGGGAGCUUGCUCCCAUGGGAGUGGCGCACGGGUGAGUAACGCGUAUGCAACCUACCUUUAACUGAGGGAUAGCCCAUAGAAAUGUGGAUUAAUACCUCAUAGUUCUUAUUAGCCGCAUGGUUUGAUAAGAUAAAGCUCCGGCGGUUAAAGAUGGGCAUGCGUGACAUUAGCUAGUUGGUAAGGUAACGGCUUACCAAGGCUACGAUGUCUAGGGGUUCUGAGAGGAUGAUCCCCCACACUGGUACUGAGACACGGACCAGACUCCUACGGGAGGCAGCAGUGAGGAAUAUUGGUCAAUGGGCGCAAGCCUGAACCAGCCAUCCCGCGUGCAGGAUGAAGGCCCUAUGGGUCGUAAACUGCU
rnacentral:rRNA from 1 species